rnacentral:tRNA from 1 species
GGCCGGUUAGCUCAGUCAGUUAGAGCGUGGUGCCAAUAACACCAAGGUCAUGGGUUUGAUCCCUCUACAGGCCA